rnacentral:rRNA from 1 species
ACACGGGAUUUGACAUGGGGAGUACCGGUCCAGAGAUGGACCUUCCCGCAAGGGGCUCCCGCACAGGUGCUGCAUGGCUGUCGUCAGCUCGUGUCGUGAGAUGUUGGGUUAAGUCCCGCAACGAGCGCAACCCUCGCCUUCAGUUGCCAGCAUGUUUGGGUGGGCACUCUGAAGGAACUGCCGGUGACAAGCCGGAGGAAGGUGGGGAUGACGUCAAGUCCUCAUGGCCCUUAUGUCCUGGGCUACACACGUGCUACAAUGGCGGUGACAGUGGGAAGCCAGGUGGUGACACCGAGCUGAUCUCAAAAAGCCGUCUCAGUUCGGAUUGCACUCUGCAACUCGAGGGCAUGAAGGUGGAAUCGCUAGUGGUCGCGGAUCAUCAUGCCGCGGUGAAUACGUUCCCGGGCCUUGUACACACCGCCCGUCACACCAUGGGAUUUGGUUUGACCUUAAGUUGGUGCGCUAACCCGCAAGGGAGGCAGCCAACCACGGUCGGGUC